AACGUUGGCGGCGUGGAUUAGGCAUGCAAGUCGCACGAGAAACCAUUAGCUUGCUAAGAGGUGGACAGUGGCGCAAGGGAGAGUAACGCGUGGUUACUUGCCCUCGAGACCGGGAUAGUGUCGGGAAACUGGCAGUAAUACCGGAUAACAUCUUCGGAUCAAAUGGUGUGAUUCCGCUCGAGGAUAGGACCGCGUACUAUUAGCUUGUUGGUGAGGUAACGGCUCACCAAGGCUGCGAUGGUUACCGGGUGUGAGAGCAUGGCCCGGCUCACUGGGACUGAGACACUGCCCAGACACCUACGGGUGGCUGCAGUCGAGAAUCUUCGGCAAUGGACGAAAGUCUGACCGAGCGACGCCGCGUGCGGGAUGAAGGCCCUCGGGUUGUAAACCGCUGUCAGUAGUUAGGAAGUCCAUGAGGGUUAUCUCUCAUGGUUGACCGAUCUUCAGAGGAAGGACGGGCUAAGU
rnacentral:rRNA from 1 species